rnacentral:lncRNA from 1 species
CUCCGAAGGGCGCAGCUUUAUACGACCGCACAGGUUGAACCCUGAACAGUUGGGGCAAGUAUGGACACAACAUUCAAGCUGAAUUCAGCUCUAAAUUUGGAUUGUGAUUAAAUAGUUGACACAGCAUAGGUUUCUGACACAGAAUGAAUGUGGUCUAAUGAACUUAAAAUAUUUUUUUUGCCUUUGAGCAAUUCACUAUGCUGUUGAAUAUUAAUCCUCUCAAAAAAAUGUUUGAAGAAAUUUUUUUUUUAUUUAUGAAAUCUGAAAUGAGAAAAAUUUACCCCCCCCCUUUUUUUUCACAUCCCCUUUUCCCUUUUUCCAAAACUGAUCUCAUUUCAAAUUUCUAAUCGAGUUUGCAACAAUAACUACUCAUUUAAAUGCAUCAUAAAAUAUUAAAAUGUAAAAUAAAGUGCUUGUUAUCACUGAAUGGUAAAGAUUGUUUUAAUUUAUCAGUUGGUAGUAAAAGUGAAUAUACAUUGUAUAUUGUAUAAAACAAUGAUUUAAGUUGAUUCAACUACUAUUCUGGACAAAGAAAGAUAACUCCAAUUGAAAAUUUCUUGCUAUUGCACAAUAUUGUGCAAUUAGAUAUUUCUUGCUAUUGUGCAAUACUGUGCAAUUGAAAAUAUUUGCUAUUGCACAAUACUGUGCAAUUGAAGAUUUCUUGCUAUUGCGCAAUACUGUGCAAUUAAAAAUAUUUGCUAUUGCACAAUACUGUGCAAUUGAAGAUUUCUUGCUAUUGCGCAAUACUGUGCAAUUGGAAAUUUCUUGCUAUUGCACAAUACUUAAUAUAAUAAUUUUGGAUCCUGAUUUGAACCAACUUGAAAACUGGGCACAAGAAUUCAAUUUUUGUUAAAAUCAAACUUUAGUUUAAUUUUGGACCCUUUGGACUUUAAUAUAGACCAAUUUGAACUAGGGACCAAAAAUUAAGAAUCUACAUACACAAUUAGAUUUGGCAUAUCAAAGAACCCCAAUUAUUCAAUUUUUUAUGAAAUCAAACAAAGUUUAAUUUUGGACCCCGAUUUGGACAACUUGAAAACUGGGCCAAUAAUUAAAAAUCUAAGUACAAUUUCAGAUUCUGCAUAUCAAAGAACCCCAAGGAUUCAAUUUUUGUUCAAAUCAAACUAAGUUUAAUUUUGGACCCUUUGGACCUUAAUGUAGACCAAUUUGAAAACGGGACCAAAAAUUAAGAAUCUACAUACACAGUUAGAUUCGGCAUAUCAAAGAACCCCAAUUAUUCAAUUUUUGAUGAAAUCAAACAAAGUUCAAUUUUGGACCCAUUGGGCCCCUUAUUCCUAAACUUUUGGGACCAAAACUCCGAAAAUCAAACCCAAAAUUCCUUUUAUGGUCAUCGACCUUCUGUUUAAAUUUCAUAGAUUUCUAUUUACUUAUACUUAAGUUAUGCUGCAAAAACCAAGAAUAAUGCUUAUUUGGGCCCCUUUUUGGCCCCUAAUUCCUAAAAUAUUGGGACCUCAACUUCCAAAAUCAAUCCCAACCUUCCUUUUGUGGUCAUAAACCUUGUGUUUAAAUUUCAUAGAUUUCUAUUUACUUAAACUAAAGUUAUAGUGCGAAAACCAAGAAAAUGCUUAUUUGGGCCCUUUUUGGCCCCUAAUUCCUAAAAUGUUGGGACCCAAACUCCCAAAAUCAAUCCCAACCUUCCUUUUGUGGUCAUAAACCUUGUGUUAAAAUUUCAUAGAUUUUUAUUCACUUUUACUAAAGUUAGAGUGCGAAAACUAAAAGUAUUCGGAUGACGACAACAACGACGACGACAACGACGACACAGAUGCCAACGUGAUACCAAUAUACGACCAAAAAAAUUUCAAUUUUUGCGGUCGUAUAAUCCCAGGUAAGAAAUUGAAUCGGUCUUUAUGAAUAAAGAUAAAGAUAUAAAUGCCUGUAUGUAAUUUGAUAGAAAAAUGCAAAGUUGAAAUUAAAAUAGCAAUACUUUGAAAUUCAAAUUAUUCAAGUAAAUAAACCAUGACUAAAGUAACAUGUAUAGUGCAAAAUAAUUUCUGUGAAAAAUUAGACAUACCAUUGAUGGUACAUGUAAUACAACCUCAUACCAUCAACAUGGUCAAGGUGGGACAAAACUGGCAGUCAAGCUUUAUCUUCUGGUGUCUGUUUUAAGGGAAAAGAUGCAUUCUCUAAGGUGGUAGAGAAACUGAAGAACAAUCAAGCGUAUAAAAAAUUCUUACGGGAUUGUUCAAGUUUUUUAACCAUUUGUUAACAUACUAUUCAAGUUUUAACUUUCAAUCCCUGUUUAAUUUUUUUAUUUUAAACAAUUCAGUAUGGUAAGAGUGUACAAUAUAUAUAUAUUCAUGAGGUUAAAAUGCUAUUCAAAUACUACAGUAAACAAGACACUGUUGAAGACAUUUUGAUGCAAAAUUUCAAAUUUUACAUGUUUUUGUCAAAAUUUGUAUUGUAGAGGACACAACUUACCAAAAGUAUGUACAGUAGAUUCAUAAUUAUUUGUUGGAUACCAAUUUUCAUCCAUUUCGUGGGUAAAGGUCAACCACGAAAUUAAAUGCUUAAUGAGGGACAAAUUUCCUCUAGGCUUGUAUGCAGACUUUCGCAAAAGCACGAAAUUGAAUAAGUUUUCCUUAUAUAAUUAAUCCAUGAAAAAUUGGAACCCACGAAAAUAAAGGAAUCUACAGUGAUGUGUAAAUAAAAGACGAUACACAGAUUUACAUCCCGAAUAAUUUUGGUUUCUGAUUUAUGAACAAAACUAUAAAUAAAUAUAAAUGAUCUGCAACAACAAACAACAAACAACAAACACUGAAUUACAGGCUCCUGAUUUGGGAAAGACAGGUUCAAGGUGUUUGAUGGCAAAAAAUUCUCCUCCUAACCUGGAGCAGUGCUGUAACAGUAUAAAAUAUGAACAAACUAUAAAACUUAGGGCUUACCUCACCAGGUAGAUACAAAGCACACAAUUUUUUUUUUUACCAAAACACAAAAGACAUAUUACGACAGAUCUAAGAGUACUAGCAGUUAUGUAUAGCUUGUCCGUUUACUUCAUUUACUUCAUUUUAUAUUUCAGUGGCGGAUCCAGGGGAGGGGGGGGGGGGGUUACCGGGGGUGCGCACCCCCCUUAUUUUUGCCGAUCAAUGCAUUUGUAUCGGGGACAUAUGUUUUGCACCCCCCCCCCCCUUUGCCCUGGGUGCCCUGGGUUAGCACCCCCCCCUUCGAAAAUUCCUGCAUCCGCCCCUGUAACAGAUAUAUACUAUUUUUAAUACUUACUAGGUUGUUCAAAAAGAUCUAAAUAAUUUUUCUCAAAUGUCAUCCAACAAGUAUAUUGUGCGAAAACAUCAGCUUUUGUCCAAUUCUUGAUUGCCAAUCCAAACCAAUCACCAGAAUUGCUGUCAACAUAUUCAAAUAUUUUUCCACUCUGCGUCUCCUUAACCCCUCCAUUAAAGAUCAGAAGACCAUCAACUCCUCCUGUCCAUUUCUUUGUUCCAUUACAUAGCAUACUAUACUGGCAUUUCAACAAUAUUUCCUCGUUUCGAAGUUCACAAUUAAAGUUUACUGUAAAAGGAAAAAGCAAAAAUCAAACUGUUGUCCCAAGAGAAAACGAAAACGGGAUCCAUCAGGAUUCCAAUGAAAUCCUUGUGAAAUUGUCGGGAUAAGCGGGGAUAAGCAUCUGGAGUCGGGAUCCCAUUCGGGAUAACUGUCUGAAGCCGGGAUUCCAGUCUAGAUGAAACGGGAUAAAUAUCGAACACUGGGAUCCCAAUCAGGGUAACUGUCUGAAGCUGGGAUCCCAAUCGGAACUGUCUAAAGCUGGGAUCCCAAUCGGGAUAACUGUCUGAAGCUGGGAUCCCAGUCUAGUUAAAAAUUUGCAAGUGUUUGGUUUGUGUACAUAUAUAUCUCUGAUAACAUUAAGUACAGGUUAUUGGUGUUAAUUAACAAUGUGCAUGACACCAAAGCUGUCAGGUGAAGCCAAUCACUUAAUGGGUCACUUAAUUUUCAGUUUGACAGAUAUUUAUAUAAAAGUAAAAAAAAUGCCGAGAUUUUCGCGAAUAAAAUGGCAGGGUUUCCGCGAAAUGUCAACGGGUGUUUUGCCAGACAAGCUUGGGCGUUUCUGAUGUUCCCCAAGUUCACAUACAUGACAUAAGUGCAUUUCUAUUAGUUGUCGUUCGGCAUCAAUGAUAAGAUAAUGAUCGACAUCGUAAAACGUUGGUUUCUCAACUAUUGCAAAAUGUUAAAAAAAAUCAUGACCGCGUGCUUUUUUUUUCAAUUGUACUGAACAGUUUCGACCCUAGAAAAUACUGUCCUAAAUAAUGCGGCCACUAACUUAUCUGCAUGCACACUGCGCCGAUUAAUAAAGUAUUUUUUUCUUAUAUUUAGUAACCAGAUGCUCCUCAGGGCACAGCUUUAUACGACCGCAGAGGUUGAACCCUGAACGGUUGGGGCAAGUAUGGACACAACAUUCAAGUUGGAUUCAGCUCUAAAUUUGGAUUGUGAUUAAAUAGUUGACACAGCAUAGGUUUCUGACACAGAAUGAAUGUGGUCUAAUGAACUUAAAAUAUUUUUUUUGCCUUUGAGCAAUUCACUAUGCUGUUGAAUAUUAAUCCUCUCAAAAAAAUGUUUGAAGAAAUUUUCUUUUUUUUAUGAAAUCUGAAAUGAGAAAAAUUUACCCCCCCCCCUCCCCCAUUUUUUUCACAUCCCCUUUCCCUUUUCCCAAAACUGAUCUCAAUUCAAAUUUCUAAUGGAGUUUGCAACAAUAACUACUCAUUUAAAUGCAUUUUAAAAUAUUACCAGAUGCUCCGCAGGGCGCAGCUUUAUACUACCGCAGAGGUUGAACCCUGAACGGUUGGGGCAAGUAUGGACACAACAUUCAAGCUGGAUUCAGCUCUUAAUUUGGAUUGUGAUUAAAUAGUUGACACAGCAUAGGUUUUGGACACAGAAUGAAUGUGGUCUAAUGAACUUAAAAUAAUUUUUUUGUCUUUGAGCAAUCACUAUGCUGUUGAAUAUUAAUCCUCUCAAAAAAAAUGUUGAAGAAAUUUUCUUUUUUUU